UAAUGCAACAGCAGUGGUGUAAGGGGUAAUGAAAGGAAGACUAGACAGGCAGGCACCCUCGGGCCAGUGGCCAGCUGGGCAAGAUGACUGCAUGAUGGCAGUCCUUGUUUGAAACUCACUGUUUACUGGUUUGGGUCAGAGCACCCAGCACCAAGGGCUGACACUUUGCCUAUUUCUACAAGGCAAGAGUAGGUGUUGGGGGUGGGUGGUAGCUGUGAGUUAUCUACAAGAAGUCAUGCACUGCUGAGCCUCAGGCAGAGCCAGGCAAGGGAUGUGAAGUCAAUAAUACAUUGAUGAAAGAGGCAUCUCCAGCUGGAAAGUCUACUUCCACAUGCUGUGUCCCUCCUGUUGGCAACACCUGCUCUGGUUUGGUGGGGGAGGGGGACCGAGUUAUGUCGGGUGUAGGCUGUACAGCACCACAGGGUGUGUCAGGGGUUUCUGACGACUUCCACGUGGCGUGUGCCAGCUUUCCCUAUCGAUUUGAUGGACACUUGAGAAGAAUCUGUCUCAAACUAACCAGUAUUCACUUCACUCUGCACUGCAGAAACUCUGGGCUGAAAGUUCCACUAGUUAAAAUAGUGGGUUUUAACACUUUGUGGGUCUGAGACCUUUGAAAAUGGUAUGAAAGCUUUAGGCCUCUGGAAAACACACAUAAGAACGCAGACACUAAUUAUGACAGAGUCAGGGGUUUCAUAGACCCUCUGAAGUCCAACAAUGGACCCCCUGGAGCAAUCGACCCCAAGUUAAGGACCCCCUGAGUUAAAGGUUCCUCUGGGUAUUUUCUUUUGAGAUGCAAAUAACCCAGAGGAAUUAUCAGCCUCCCCGCUCCCCAUGUGAUUAUUGAUUGAAUGGGUGGGGGGAGGUGAGAGUAAUGGUUUUGGAGGAAGGGAAGGGAAGCCUGAAUAGUAUACCCCAGAGAAAAGUUAGGGAAUGGUUUGGAGAUCAGCAGGUAGCACUGGAUCACUGGAUCCCUGAUCUAGGGGUGGGAUAUACAUCAGAAAGGGGGGCAGGUGUCCCAAAGACAACCUUCACUUACUUCCACAUUUUCCCUAAGGCUGGCUGUGUGGUUCCGGAUCAGAACGAGUUUGUUCUUCAAGUAGGUCUGUGCGGUCAUCCUGCCAUCUGGUGGUGAUGCUUGGAAUUGCACCUGCCCCAACAUCAGGUGAAAAACCAGAGAUCUAAGAUCAGUAUGUUCUUAGAAUAAAGUACGCUCAGCUGACUUGCUGGAGUGGAGUAAUGGGUGGGGGUGGGGGGAAUGGAUGAAAAAAGAAGAGUGAUUCUUCAGUGUUCCAGUGUAAUAUACACUGAAGUCCCAUGAGAGCUUGCAUCCUUCUUGGCCGACCUGGGCACUCUUUGGUUUGUCAUGGCUAAAAACUUUCCACAUAUAUUUUUUGAACUUAAAACCUGAAGUUCCAUCUCUGGCUCCCAAAUGGGGUUCUCUGCUCCCUGCUCCUCCUCUUCCAGAGCAGAUUUAUUGUUGGAUUGAUGAGUACUGAUCAGGAGCCAAAACAGAUGUGUCCCUGGGAAAUAACAGUGACUUGAGGUUCCAUCUCACAUUCGUUCCAUUCCAGCUGAGACACACCUCCCAGGCUGCUGGAACCCUUAUCUAACAGGAAACUGGUCACUGACAGUUUUCUGUCCUGUAACUUCACAUGCCAACGUGACUGUCCCGCUGCUCUAAUGUUCUGGAGGAAUUCGUGGUGCAUCUCCUGAACUAAUCUUCCUAUCUGCUGCUCCAGCCUCCUUUGUGCCCGUCUGCCAGUGGCACCUUUUGACCUAAGCUAAGUAUGAAAUAUGGUGCCAGGGGACACCAAAGAACAAAAAAGGGCAUCAGGGAUCCUCGAGUGGCACUGUCAGCCUGGGGUCAUUUCUUCUCCAGUCCCAGACUGUGCUGUGGAUAAAACCAUUUCUAGCAUGUUCCACUGAGGCACCUCCUUCCGUUAUGGCUACCGCAAGGCUCUGAGUCAAACUGGAGGAACGAGGGAAAAUCUGCCAAACUGACAGCUAGGGGUGAAGAGGUGGUAAGGAAAGCGGAACGCUCUGUCACCUGUGGGAGGCCUUGGGGAGAAGCAGAUGAUGGGAGGACGGGUUCUCCCCAAAGCUCUGGAAUCUCACGCACCCAGCGAACGCUGACUGCCCUGUCAUGUGAUGAGAGGGGUUAAGUUGGAGUUCUCCUCAGAGGUUCUCUCUCCAUCUGGUGACCUCUUCCUUUUUUGACCACCUGAAAAACACAGCUUGUAAGGAUCAAUCUUUAAGACUGGGAGGACAUUGAUACUCUCUCGGUGGUCUAAGCUUUCUUCAAAACAGAAGCAGGAAUGGAGACAAAGCCCUUGAUAGUUUGUCAGAAGUAACCUGCAUUGUCUCCUGGUGCUGACAUCAGCAUAUUUACAUCUUGAAGGAUUAGGAUGCACCUUCCACCUGAGAUGACAUCUCCAAAAACCCGCACACCCAGGCUAGUGCCAAUGGAAUGGAGAUUUCCUGGAGGGGACUGAGUGAAGCCCACACAAUGCCUCAGGAUCACGCCCCACCAUCCCCAGCUCAGAUGACUGCCAGACACCCUCUGAGAGAGGGCUGGUCUCAUGGACUUUGAUGUCCCUGAGCCAGGGGUGGUAGGUGUAGCUGGGAGCCACCCCCCCCCCCCCACCGGGGACCUACAUUCUCUAGAUCAGAGGCAACCUUCCUUCUGCACUGGGGUACGUGGGGGUAAUUAUGUAACUGCCCUCAAGGAUGGAAGGGCACUCUGUUCCCAGCUCCACUGUUUUUAGGAAGGAGUAUUUUUCACCUUGUUCCCUCUGCCAUGGACUUCUUUCCACGGAGGAUAUUGCUUUCCUUUUUAUUGAGUGUCCCAAACACAAAUUCUUUCCUUAAAGGACCAGAUUGUAAAUGUUUUAGGUUUUGCAGGCCAUUUGGUCCCUGUUGCAACUACUCAACUCUGCCAUUGUGGCCAUCAAUAACAAGGGGCUUCUAUGAUCCAGUAAGUCUUUAUUUUUUACAGGAAUGGGCGGGGGAGGGAGGUCAGGAUUUGAUCUGUGGCCAUGGUUUGCAGACUCCUGUCCUAGAUGACCACCAACUGAGUGGGACAGCUCCCCAAAGUAUCAAAGGUGCAGUACUGCCUGAGCCCUAUUAUGGGUUUCCACAAUUGUACCUCAUUAGAGUUCCCAACAGGAGUCAAUGGUUCCUCCUCCAGGAAUAAGAUCCUGUUUUUUGUACUAACCAGCUGGCGGGCCGUUUUCAUCUGGGUGAAGAGCUACUCACUCAAGGUUCUCAGCAACUUCUGGCCCAUGGUUUCCUCAAAGCUGCUGCUGCAGCGGCUGGUCUCUGUGUCCAGGUUGAUAUGACAACAUUCACUAUCUGAUGCUGAGAGAAAGGAAAGAAGAAAGAACACAAGCCUUUCCCACCUACACACCCAGGGAUCCAGGGCCCAGUUACCCUCCCUGACCUGCUGUCAUGGGAACAGCUGCAGGAGACAGUGAGAGUUGCUGCGUGCUCUGCCCCUCGAAGUCUGUCAUCUCCUCCUGGGUGAAGGCCAUCUCCUCCAUCCUCAGGUAGAACAACGGACCAUGUGCUGUGAUGCUCAGCUGCCCUAGUCACAGCAAGGUCCUCUGGCCUGAGAAAAAGGACGACACCUGCACCUGAGAAUUGACCUCAGAUUUGGAGUUCUCAACACCUCACUGGCUCACGUCAGGAAAGAGACUUCCCUUUGAUGCUCCUUGUUAUUUAUAGAAUGUUCCCUUUCCUUAUGUUUUAGGGGUGGAUAUAUGAGAUCAACUGUAAGUUUUAGGAAAAUCCUUACAGUCUUAGUGUCAGGUAUUCAUCCUAACACAUUCCUCUUGGAGGAGUUGCCAGAUCCAUCUCCUGAAAGCGCUCUCCAGUCGAUGCCCAGAGGUGUUUCAAAAAACUCUGGGCUCAUUAAACACCACUCCUCAAAAUCUCAUUCACUUUUCUCCCCAAAGCCUCAUAUGGAUUUUCUCAACUUAAGAUAUAAAUGGUGUUAUGGACUGAAUGUUUGUGUCCCCUCCAAAAUUCAUAUGCUGAAACCCUAACCCCCAAGGUGAUGGCAUUAGGAGGUGGGGGUAAUUAGGUCAUGAGGAGGGGGAGACUUCAUGAAUGGGAUUAGUGUCCUUAUAAGAAGAGAGCCUUCGGGCUUCCCUGGUGGCGCAGUGGUUGGGAGUCUGCCUGCCGAUGCAGGGGACGCGGGUUCGUGCCCCGGUCCGGGAGGAUCCCGCGUGCCGCGGGGCGGCUGGGCCCGUGGGCCAUGGCCGCUGAGCCUGCGCGUCCGGAGCCUGUGCUCCGUGACGGGAGGGGCCACAACAGUGAGAGGCCUGCAUACUGCCAAAAAAAAAAAAAAAGAAGAGAGCCUUCUUCUUCUCUCUCUCCUCCCCGCCAUAUGAGGAUACAAAGAGAAGACAACCAUUUUCAAACCAAGAAGUGGGUUCUCACUAGACGAGACACCACCUGGAUCUGCCAGCACCUUGAACUUGGAGAUCCAGCCUCCAGAACUGUGAGAAAUAAAUGUUUGUGCUUUAAGCCACCCAGUUGAUGGUAAUUGUUAUAGCAGCCCAAAUGGACUAAGACAAAUGGAAAGACCCGAGAAGCAAACUUAGCAAAAAUUCCCAAUGCACUUAAAACAGAAUCCAGACACCAUACUCUGGCCUAAAGAUGCCAGGCAACAUUGCUGCCAGCACUCCAUCCCCAACUCACAUCGGCCUCGUCUUUGCACAUAACGCGCCAGAACAAAGAUCCUCCUUGGACCACCAAGCUCUUUCCUGCCUCUGUUGUUUCUAUCUUGAACAUUCUCUCCACAUCCCCUUCCAGGUCUCAACAAAAGACACCUGCUCUCUCAGGCUGCUCUGACAACCAUUUCUAAAGCAGCUUCCUUGCCAACUCUGCCCAAGCACUGUUUAUCCCAUGAUCCAGUUUAUUUCCUUCAUAGCCUUCAUCACUCCCCUAGAUUACCUAGGUUAUUUAUGUAGUUACUUGUUUAUCAUCUUUCUCCCCCUAGGAGCAUGGAAGCUCUAGAAAGGUAGGAGCUUGCUGUCUUGUUCACCAUGGUAUCUCGCUGAUGCCUAUACAGUGCGAAGCACGAGCAGGUAGUCAGUAAAUACCUGUUGAACCACUGACUCAUAUAGCGACAUUCAGUUUCUUUUCCCACAAACCAUAUGCCCAGUCCUACAAACCACUAAGAGUUAGUUAUAGCAGAAUUUCUCUUCUCCCAUUUUUUCCUACCUCCACUUCUGAGGAAGGUCUGCAAUGAGAGGGCUUCAGGGCUGGAAGCAAGAGGGAGGAGAAUCGUGGGCUGCGGUUUUCUGAGGUUCAUUCUCACUGUCACGAUAGACUAGUAAGUGUCCACAGUCAUACACACCGUGCGUGUUGUUGGGUUAGUGCCUAAAGCACUUCUCCCAGGCUCUGUCAGCUCUGAUUUCUCUAAACUCUCCCCAAAGCCCAAGGACUUGAAGGCUUGGACUCUGGAGACAGAGAGACUCAAUCUGAAGUUUGGCUGUGCCACGUCCCAGUCACGAGACCUUAUACUCCUCAAGCUCCCACGUCGUCUAUAAAGUGGGGAUGACACAGUACCUACCUGUUAAGGUGGUUGUAGGACUCAGUGGGAAAUUCGUUCAAGGACUUAAAGUGCAUGGCACACAGCACCCCACCAACAGUCCUUGUCCCAGCCCACCCCCCAGGAGUGACCCCUCUUCUCCACGGUUACUUUUCUCAACGCUCUUGAGUUUUAGUUCAGGGUGUUUGCAGAGUUCUGGAACAUAGAAAGCCAGCCAGCACACACCACCCUCAAAUAAUCAGGGUCAGUGUUCUGAACAGAAGGAAAGGACCUCCUCCCACCUUUGUGAUUUCCGUACACCUCUCACCCGGCCUGCAGCUGGGAUGACUGUUACCAAGUGAGUGCAUUGAGUGUUUAGUUGGACUCGGGUAAAUGGGUUCCCUUCUGAUCUCAGGCCAAGUGUGUAAUGGUUUGUGGAAUGCUAGCAAACAAAACAAACAAAACCUAUCAAAGCAAGAGAAAGGAGGGAAUCUUAGAAUGUUUCUGUCCAAUACCAAUCUCAAUGAGGGGUAUGAAGAAACAGCUCUCCUCCUUAAUUACAAGGCGAUAAGCACUGCUGCCUCUCUCUACAGCACUUGCAAAGCGGCUCUCUUCAAAUAGCUCAGUGACAGCAAGGGGGUAUAAUAAUAUUUACAGGCUGAAUUGUGUUUUAGACUUUAAAUAUUAAUACGUAAAAUCUUAUCCACAUGUGAAAUCAUAGCAUGGUUUCUUCUAUACCCUUGGUUCAUUAAUCACCUGCAGAUUUAUCUUGAAUAAAUAAAAUCAACCUGGUGCCAAUGGCGGGGCAUCCAAAGGAAACAGUUCUGCCGGCAGCUUGUCUCGGGCAAGCUAAUUCCCUAUCGCUUCAUGCCUCAGUUUCUCCACAAUGAAAAACGGGGAUCAGGAGAUCUUAAUGAACAAUCAUGGUUCAAACGAACAAAGGGACAAUAACGGUGACAAAUAAUGAACAGAAUAAAGCUAACCGAAACCAGGGCCUUUAGAAAGCCAGGGAGCAAUUGCCACGCAGCAUUAUCUUGGAACAGGGGGAACAGGAUGCUGCUGGCUGGGAGUGAGGGGACAGCCCUCCCUGCGGAGCUACCUUCACAAACUGCACGUCGCUGAGGAUGUGGACUGAGUAGUCGGGUGUGUAGAGGUUGUUGCUGCUACUGCACAGCUGGGUGUUGCUUCCCCCAAAGUCGCUGCGCUCACGGCUCGGAGACUCGGAGCGGUUCAACCCGCUGCAGCGGGAAGGGGACCGGUUUACUGCAGAGGGUGAGAGAGAGGAGAGGGAGGAAAGGCAAGGAGGAAGGGGUGGGGAGGAAGGAGAGGGGAACAGAAAGAGGGAGAGAGAGAAAGGGGUGUCGUUUACCGAGGUCUCGCAGUAUGUUUAGGUGAUGGCAACACCGGGUGGCGGACUGGGCCCUCUCCCCUCCCAUCAGAGCCCAGGAAAAUGCCUGGCUGCUCCAUUUAUGAGGAGCAAAUGCCUAAGGCCUCGUGGCCCCACUCAGCUCAGGUUCCUGCUCCCCACGACCUCUAGCAGCGGGAAGCUGGGUGGGCCGCUGCCUUUCUCGGUUCUGGGGUACGUGCAGGAGAUGAGGACCCUUCUAUGAGUGAGGGUUGCUACCCCAGACCAUGAGACCCUCUAUUGGGGUGAGUUCUUUUGUAUAAACUCCAUUCACAAACCUUCUUUUAGGAAGGCUGAGGCCUUAGGUUUGCCCUAAAAACCACCUGUCGCAGAACAGGUAAGCAGCCCUCACCAUAGUGAGGCAUUUCAGAGGGGAUGACGCAGGCCCCAACACUGGCAGGGCCGGGGACAAGCGGAGGCCCAUAAACCACGUGGAUAGAUAUUUAAAUCAUGUCAAUAAACUGUUAAAAUAUGUUCUAUCCUUGUCUUUGACAAAUAUAACUUCUUAAAAACCUAGCAGGCCAGAUAAGGCUCCUUAAGAGUUUUGUGCUGGAAAAUGGGCUGUAGGGGGAGAACCAGCUCUGCCCUAGGGCUUUCUGGCCCGGUCUCCCAGAGCUGUUUGGGUGGGGAAUUCCAUACCUGAAACGUGGUCUAGAGGGAAGAACACAGCUCUGGGUGGUACAUCCCUUUGGCUCUGUGAACUACUCACCCCACAGAGAGGCGUGGAGCUGAGGAGGGCCAAAGAGAGGCCCCCUAAAGGGUGGGUCUAGGGCAGGGCUCUUUCUAGGCUCAAAGGCCGGAGGCUGGAAUAACCCUCCAGGCCUUCUGUCAAAGGCCUCUUAAAUGUUCAGAGCUGGCUUCUUUUUCCAUUUUCAAGAACCACUUCUUGGGAAAGUUCAAUUAAGACCACAUCACUUGGUUUCAAAAUGGACUGUGUGAACUACCCUCCCAGGAUCAACAGAAGAGAAGAGAGGUUCUUAAGGUGACCCUAGCAUUAUCUCCACCACAGAAUAACCCUGAAUGAGAGACCGCAAAGCCCCUCCCACCCCUCUGCUUCCCAACUGACGCCACUCUUCAUUUCUUCCCAAAAAAGAGAAAUGGGAGGCUGUCAGCCUCUCCUAACACAGAUUCAGUUCAGGGGCUCCAAUGAAGAGUCUGAUUCCUCAGAGAUUCUGCUCCUUGGUUCUUUCAGGGAAGAACCUUGGGAAUUUAAUUCUGUCUCUUAAGAUAAUGCUGCCAUCCAUCAAAAUGAUUAGCAUCUAUUUGGAGUGACUUCUGAAGGUCUGUCGAUGUGUUUAGCUGCCAGGCUGUUAUUGUUGUCUGGCAAACCAUGUAGUAGUGGAAAGACUAAAAUGACCAUAGGUUGAAUCAUUUUCUCAUUAGAGCCAGAAUAAUCACUGCCUUGAUCAGAUUAUAGAAUUAAGGGUUCCACCUCCAGUUUUCUCCUUCUCAGUAAGUGUCAUUCACAUACAUGCUGUUACUUAAACCAGAAACCUGGGAGUCUCCCGUGACUCCUGCCAAUCUGUCAGCCCCACAUCAAGUCUCCACUUCCCCGACAUAAUAAACUCAUCUGCCCCUACCUCUGUCUCCACUCAAGUCCUAGUUACCAUCACCCUCGCCUGGACCACAGUCUGGUCUCCCCAGUUAUAAUCUCAUAAUCUGUUCUCACUUCAGCUGUCAAAAGCACAUUUUAAAAACACAAAUCAGCUUCCUGUUGAAUCUCAAUAAAAUCCAUACUCCUUGCUGUGACCCCUAAACCCCCUAUGACUUGAGCCCUGCUUUCCUGUCUGAUCUCAUCCUGGGGCUCCCUCUCCUCGCCUGCUUGUUCUGCUCUAGCUUACUGGCCACCUUGGGGAUCCUCAACCAUGUAAGCAUACCCAUCUCAGCAGAUGCCAUUUCCCCCGCUCCCCCUCCCCCCAUUUUAGCACCAUUCCCACCCCUGCUCUCACUUCUCAGUCAUUAGGUCUCAGCUGAAACACCGCCUUCUCUGAAGACCUGGUCUGGCCACCCUAAGAAGAUUACCCCUAUUUUCCUCUAUCACUGUCCCCUGUUCAUCUCUUUAAAGCACUUUUCACAAGUUUUACUUAAUUACAUGUUUGUGUUUAUUUGUAAUGUCUACUCAGUUCAAUGAUAAAUUCUAUGAGGGCAAAGACCUUGUCUUUUCUGGUCAUUGUUGUAUAUCUGGUACCUAGCACAGUGCCUGGCCCAGAGUAGGCACUCAAUAAAAAUGUACGGAAUGAACAAAUCAGCACCUAAGAAUCCCUGAAGGAGUUUUUAUUUAGAAUCUAAAUUUUGUUUUAAAAAGGUUUCAGGGCUCUCAA